CAAACCUGUUCUCAUUCAUGGAACUGACUUUUCAACAAGGAAAGACAAACUUCUUUGGAAGAAGAAAUUCCUCACUGGUGAUCUGAUUGUUGAGCAUAGGCGGUCCGCAGAUUUUACUUCAGGUGCAGCAUAGAUGGCUAAUUUCUAGAGAAAUAAAAUACAUUUUAGUAAUUCACAGAAACAUUGGUACUACUCUGAGCAUGACUAGCAAAUUAUAUCUAAGAGAAAAUUGUGUUUCUCCAACGUUGAGUAGUAAAUGAACAGACAAAUAAAGGAUUUGGUAUCACCAACCGCAGCAAGGG